CAGCAGCCACGGUAACACGUAGGUGGCAAGCGUUGUCCCGAAUUAUUGGGCGUAAAGGGCCCGCAGGCGGUUUCUUAAGUCUGAUGUGAAAGCCCCCGGCUCAACCGGGGAGGGUCAUUGGAAACUGGGAAACUUGAGUGCAGAAGAGGAGAGUGGAAUUCCACGUGUAGCGGUGAAAUGCGUAGAGAUGUGGAGGAACACCAGUGGCGAAGGCGACUCUCUGGUCUGUAACUGACGCUGAGGAGCGAAAGCGUGGGGAGCGAACAGGAUUAGAUACCCCAGUAGUCCCUGUCUCUUAUAC
rnacentral:rRNA from 1 species